rnacentral:tRNA from 1 species
CCGUGGCCGUGGCGCUCGGCGGGGCGACGAGGAUCUCACCCUCGAUCACCACCUUGUCCCCCGUGGGGACGGCGUUCGGCGCCGCCAGCCACGGU